GAACCCCUGCUGUGCUCGUGAUCAAUCUGGCUUUGUUAUGAGCCAACACCAUAACACAGGGAACCUUAACUCUGGCUGGGGAGGGCGGGCCGUCUUCGAACGGAAGUCCAAACCACUCAGGUGGGUACCCACCUGCCUAAGCAGGUUCAUUCGAGCCAGCACUAGCGACACGGUGGGGGAUUC
rnacentral:other from 1 species